GAGCAUUUCUUUGAAUUUUAUUGAAAAUUGACAUGGACAUUAUAAAGGUAUCAAGCUAAACAGUGCUGGUUUUGGGAUGUUUUUCCUGGUGAAUGAAAGCCCCAGAGGGGCAGUGACUGGUCACAUCUCUGAGCAAAAAGAACAAAGGAGAAGAAAGGAAGAAUGAACACAGAUUUUGGAAAACAUGCAAAGAGGCUCUCUCAAGAGACACGGGACAGUGGAAUGGCAAUGGUCAUAGGGCUAUAUGGGGAUGAGCACACUCACAUGGUAUUUCGAUCCAAGUUAAACCAAUGAAUUCUGGGCAGAUUUAUCAACAUCAAAGCUCUCCCUCCAGGUCCCACAUUGAGCAGAAACCUCUCUCAAAACCCCAACUGGCCUUGGAAUGCUGAAUGGAGUAAUUUUGUUCUCACUAAGCUUAAACUCCCCCAUCUCUCCUUUCCUUUCUCCACCUGAAUGUUAGUAGAUCAACUUGCCCCACUUGCUGAGGGGAUCUGCAGAAGGUCUGUGAAUGCUGAAGAAGAUAUGAAUGUUGCUUGACUUCCUCAUCCAUAUUCAGAAAUGUUUAAUAGUGGCUGUAGACAAUCAACCCAUUGAACCAGAGAAAUGGUGUUUAAAAGGAAAAACAGAAAACUCAAAUGAAAAACUUGUGAACAGUACUUCCACACCCACAGCUGAGGUCUCCUGCCUCAGUCACUUACACUUGGGUGAGUCGUCCUGCAGUUGUCUCUC
rnacentral:lncRNA from 1 species